GCCAGGCAUGGUGGCACUGCCUGUCAUCCCAGAUACUCGGGAGGCUGAGGCAGGAGGAUCACAAGUUCAAGAUCAACCUGGGCAACUUAGUGAGAUCCCGUCUCAA
rnacentral:sRNA from 1 species